GAUGAACGCUGGCGGCGUGCCUAAUACAUGCAAGUCGAACGAAACUUCUUUAUCACCGAGUGCUUGCACUCACCGAUAAAGAGUUGAGUGGCGAACGGGUGAGUAACACGUGGGCAACCUGCCCAAAAGAGGGGGAUAACACUUGGAAACAGGUGCUAAUACCGCAUAACCAUAGUUACCGCAUGGUAACUAUGUAAAAGGUGGCUAUACUACCGCUUUUGGAUGGGCCCGCGGCGCAUUAGCUAGUUGGUAGGGUAAAGGCUUACCAAGGCAAUGAUGCGUAGCCGAAUUGAGAGGUUGAUCGGCCACAUUGGGACUGAGCCACGGCCCAAACUCCUACGGGAGGCAGCAGUAGGGAAUCUUCCACAAUGGGCGAAAGCCUGAUGGAGCAACGCCGCGUGGGUGAAGAAGGUCUUCGGAUCGUAAAACCCUGUUGUUAGAGAAGAAAGUGCGUGAAAGUAACUGUUCACGUUUCGACGGUAUCUAACCAGAAAGCCACGGCUAACUACGUG
rnacentral:rRNA from 1 species